rfam:Holospora undulata HT1 contig000113, whole genome shotgun sequence.
GGAGAGAUGGCCGAGCGAUCAAAGGCAGCAGACUGUAAAUCUGCCGACACAAGUCUACGUAGGUUUAAAUCCUACUCUCUCCA